ACUUAAAUAGUUUAAGGAAAAUUUUGAUUUGUGGGGUCAAGGAUGUAGGAAUACUUUAAGUA
rnacentral:tRNA from 1 species